CGGGCGUUAAGUUGCAGGGUAUAGACCCGAAACCCGGUGAUCUAGCCAUGGGCAGGUUGAAGGUUGGGUAACACUAACUGGAGGACCGAACCGACUAAUGUUGAAAAAUUAGCGGAUGACCUGUGGCUGGGGGUGAAAGGCCAAUCAAACCGGGAGAUAGCUGGUUCUCCCCGAAAGCUAUUUAGGUAGCGCCUCGUGAAUUCAUCUCCGGGGGUAGAGCACUGUUUCGGCUAGGGGGCCAUCCCGGCUUACCAACCCGAUGCAAACUGCGAAUACCGGAGAAUGUUAUCACGGGAGACACACGGCGGGUGCUAACGUCCGUCGUGAAGAGGGAAACAACCCAGACCGCCAGCUAAGGUCCCAAAGUCAUGGUUAAGUGGGAAACGAUGUGGGAAGGCCCAGACAGCCAGGAUGUUGGCUUAGAAGCAGCCAUCAUUUAAAGAAAGCGUAAUAGCUCACUGGUCGAGUCGGCCUGCGCGGAAGAUGUAACGGGGCUAAACCAUGCACCGAAGCUGCGGCAGCGACACUGUGUGUUGUUGGGUAGGGGAGCGUUCUGUAAGCCUGUGAAGGUGUGUCGUGAGGCAUGCUGGAGGUAUCAGAAGUGCGAAUGCUGACAUAAGUAACGAUAAAGCGGGUGAAAAGCCCGCUCGCCGGAAGACCAAGGGUUCCUGUCCAACGUUAAUCGGGGCAGGGUGAGUCGACCCCUAAGGCGAGGCCGAAAGGCGUAGUCGAUGGGAAACGGGUUAAUAUUCCCGUACUUGGUGUUACUGCGAAGGGGGGACGGAGAAGGCUAUGUUGGCCGGGCGACGGUUGUCCCGGUUUAAGCGUGUAGGUGUGUGUUCCAGGUAAAUCCGGUUCACUUUAACACUGAGGCGUGACGACGAGGCACUACGGUGCUGAAGCAACAAAUGCCCUGCUUCCAGGAAAA
rnacentral:rRNA from 1 species